rnacentral:rRNA from 1 species
CCCGCAGGCGGGAUGGUGCGUUUGCUGUGACAGCGCGGGGCUAAACUCCGCGAGGGUAGCAAAGACGGCCGUUCUUGAGGGCCAGAGAGGGACCUGGAAGUCCGGGUGGAGCGGUGAAAUGCGUAGAGAUCCGGAGGAACACCGAAAGCGAAGGCGGGGUCCUGGCUGGCACCUGACGCUCGUGGGCGAAAGCUAGGGGAGCGAACGGGAUUAGAUACCCCGGUAGUCCUAGCCGUAAACGAUGACCACUAGGUGUGCGACGUAUCGACCCGUUGCGUGCCGGAGGCAACCCAUUAAGUGGUCCGCCUGGGGAGUACGGUCGCAAGAUUAAA